rnacentral:rRNA from 2 species
AACGAGAAAGUUCCUUCGGGAAACCAGUAAAGUGGCGCAAGGGUGAGUAACACGUGAAUAAUCUGCCUACGAAUUCGGGAUAACUCGACGAAAGUUGCGCUAAUGCCGAAUAAGACCACGUCUCUUAUGUGAUGUGGCCAAAGGAGUCUCAAACUCCGUUUGUAGAUGAGUUCGCGGACCAUUAGCUAGUUGGAGGAUAACACGCCCCCAAGGCUACGAUGGUUAGCCGGCCUGAGAGGGUGAUCGGCCACACUGGAACUGAGACACGGUCCAGACUCC